rnacentral:rRNA from 1 species
UACGUAGGGUGCAAGCGUUAAUCGGAAUUACUGGGCGUAAAGGCGUGCGCAGGCGGUUGUGCAAGACCGAUGUGAAAUCCCCGGGCUUAAACCUGGGGAAUGGCAUUGGUGACUGCACGGCUAGAGUGUGUCAGAGGGGGGUAGAAUUCCACGUGUGAGCAGUGAAAUGCGUAGAGAUGAUGGAGGAAUACCGAUGGCGAAGGCAGCCCCCUGGGAUAACACUGACGCCUCAUGCACGAAAGCGUGGGGAGCAAACAGG